rnacentral:rRNA from 1 species
CGUAGGGUGCGAGCGUUAAUCGGAAUUACUGGGCGUAAAGCGUGCGCAGGCGGUUUAGUAAGACAGGCGUGAAAUCCCCGGGCUCGAACCUGGGAACUGCGCUUGUGACUGCUAAGCUAGAGUACGGCAGAGGGGGGUGGAAUUCCACGUGUAGCAGUGAAAUGCGUAGAGAUGUGGAGGAACACCAAUGGCGAAGGCAGCCCCCUGGGUCGAUACUGACGCUCAUGCACGAAAGCGUGGGUAGCAAACAGGAUUAGAUACCCUGGUAGUCCACGCCCUAAACGAUGUCAACUAGGUGUUGGGAGGGUAAAACCUUUUAGUACCGGAGCUAACGCGUGAAGUUGACCGCCUGGGGAGUACGGCCGCAAGGUUA